rnacentral:tRNA from 1 species
AUUCAAAUAGUUUAUUUAAAAUAAUAAUUUGUGAAAUUAUAGAUAUAUUUAUAUUUUGGAUA